AAGAGCGGAGUGACGAGAGAUCGUCACGCUCCGUUCUGUGAGGGCCGGAGGGUGAAAUCCCCUCCGGCUACUCGGC
rfam:Streptomyces agglomeratus strain 6-3-2 1, whole genome shotgun sequence.